rnacentral:rRNA from 1 species
AACACAUGCAAGUCGAGCGGUAGCACAGGGGAGCUUGCUCCCUGGGUGACGAGCGGCGGACGGGUGAGUAAUGUCUGGGAAACUGCCUGAUGGAGGGGGAUAACUACUGGAAACGGUAGCUAAUACCGCAUAACGUCGCAAGACCAAAGAGGGGGACCUUCGGGCCUCUUGCCAUCAGAUGUGCCCAGAUGGGAUUAGCUAGUAGGUGGGGUAAUGGCUCACCUAGGCGACGAUCCCUAGCUGGUCUGAGAGGAUGACCAGCCACACUGGAACUGAGACACGGUCCAGACUUUUACGGGAGGCAGCAGUGGGGAAUAUUGCACAAUGGGCGCAAGCCUGAUGCAGCCAUGCCGCGUGUGUUAAGAAGGCCUUCGGGUUGUAAAGCACUUUCAGCGAGGAGGAAGGUGGUGAGCUUAAUACGCUCAUCAAUUGACGUUACUCGCAGAAGAAGCACCGGGUAACUCCGUGCCAACAGCCGCGGUAAUACGGAGGGUGCAAGCGUUAAUCGGAAUUACUGGGCGUAAAGCGCACGCAGGCGGUUUGUUAAAUCAGAUGUGAAAUCCCCGGGGUCAACCUGGGAACUGCAUUUGAAACUGGCAAGCUAGAGUCUCGUAAAGGGGGGUAAAAUUCCAGGUGUAGCGGUGAAAUACGUAGAGAUCUGGAGGAAUACCGGUGGCGAAGGCGGCCCCCUGGACGAA